GUUGUAUGGUUAAGUGACUAAGCGUACACGGUGGAUGCCUUGGCAGUCAGAGGCGAUGAAGGACGUAUUAACUUGCGAUAAGCCCAGAUUAGGCAGUAAAAGCCACUUGAGUCUGGGAUUUCCGAAUGGGGAAACCCAACUGCAUAAGCAGUUACUGUUAACUGAAUACAUAGGUUAACAGGGCGAACCGGGGGAACUGAAACAUCUAAGUACCCCGAGGAAAAGAAAUCAACCGAGAUUCCGAAAGUAGCGGCGAGCGAAAUUGGACUAGCCCUUAAGCUUUACACGCGUUAGACGAACGGUCUGGAAAGUCCGACGAUACAGGGUGAUAGUCCCGUAGUUGACGACGUGUGUUCAGUGAAAUCGAGUAGGGCGGGACACGUGAUAUCCUGUCUGAAUAUGGGGGGACCAUCCUCCAAGGCUAAAUACUACUGACUGACCGAUAGUGAACCAGUACCGUGAGGGAAAGGCGAAAAGAACCCCUGUGAGGGGAGUGAAAUAGAACCUGAAACCGUGUACGUACAAGCAGUAGGAGCAGGCUUUGUCCUGUGACUGCGUACCUUUUGUAUAAUGGGUCAGCGACUUAUAUUCAGUGGCAAGGUUAACCAUCUAGGGGAGCCGUAGGGAAACCGAGUCUUAACUGGGCGUUCAGUCUCUGGAUAUAGACCCGAAACCAGGUGAUCUAGCCAUGGGCAGGUUGAAGGUUGAGUAACAUCAACUGGAGGACCGAACCGACUAAUGUUGAAAAAUUAGCGGAUGACUUGUGGCUAGGGGUGAAAGGCCAAUCAAACCUGGAGAUAGCUGGUUCUCCCCGAAAGCUAUUUAGGUAGCGCCUCGGACGAAUACUACUGGGGGUAGAGCAC
rnacentral:rRNA from 1 species